GAUUCUGGCUCAGGAUGAACGCUAGCUACAGGCUUAACACAUGCAAGUCGAGGGGCAGCAUUGGAGUAGCAAUACUCAGAUGGCGACCGGCGCACGGGUGAGUAACACGUAUCCAACCUGCCGCUUACUCGGGGAUAGCCUUUCGAAAGAAAGAUUAAUACCCGAUGGUAUAAAGAGUUCGCAUGUUCUCUUUAUUAAAGAAUUUCGGUAAGCGAUGGGGAUGCGUUCCAUUAGAUAGUUGGCGGGGUAACGGCCCACCAAGUCUACGAUGGAUAGGGGUUCUGAGAGGAAGGUCCCCCACAUUGGAACUGAGACACGGUCCAAACUCCUACGGGAGGCAGCAGUGAGGAAUAUUGGUCAAUGGACGAGAGUCUGAACCAGACCCAAGUAGCGUGAAGGAUGACUGCCCUAUGGGUUGUAAACUUCUUUUAUAAGGGAAUAAAGUGAGGGACGUGUUCCCUUUUGUAUGUACCUUAUGAAUAAGGAUCGGCUAACUCCGUGCCAGCCGCCGC
rnacentral:rRNA from 1 species